AGUUUCUGACCUAUCAGCUUUCGACGGUAGGGUAUUGGCCUACCGUGGCAGUGACGGGUAACGGGGAAUUAGGGUUCGAUUCCGGAGAGGGAGCCUGAGAAACGGCUACCACAUCUAAGGAAGGCAGCAGGCGCGCAAAUUACCCAAUGAAAACAGUUUCGAGGUAGUGACGAGAAAUAACAAUACAGGGCAUUUUAUGCUCUGUAAUUGGAAUGAUGGGAAUGUAAAACCCUUUCAGAGUAACAAUUGGAGGGCAAGUCUGGUGCCAGCAGCCGCGGUAAUUCCAGCUCCAAUAGUGUAUAUUAGAGUUGUUGCAGUUAAAAAGCUCGUAGUUGGAUUUCUGUCGUGGUCAUCCGGUACCGCCCGUAUGGGUGAGCACCUGGUUUGCCCUCGGCUUUCUUCCGGUAGCCUUCCGCGCUUCACUGCGUGUGUUGGUGUUCCGGAACUUUUACUUUGAG
rnacentral:rRNA from 1 species